rnacentral:rRNA from 1 species
UACGUAGGUGGCAAGCGUUGUCCGGAUUUACUGGGCGUAAAGGGUGCGUAGGCGGUUAUUUAAGUCAGAUGUUAAAGACUACAGCUCAACUGUAGAAAGCAUUUGAAACUGGGUAACUUGAGUCAAGGAGAGGAAAGUGGAAUUCCUAGUGUAGCGGUGAAAUGCGUAGAUAUUAGGAGGAAUACCAGUGGCGAAGGCGACUUUCUGGACUUGUACUGACGCUGAGGAACGAAAGCAUGGGGAGCAAACAGG